UACGUAGGGUGCGAGCGUUGUCCGGAAUUACUGGGCGUAAAGAGCUCGUAGGUGGUUUGUCGCGUUGUCCGUGAAAACUCACAGCUCAACUGUGGGCGUGCGGGCGAUACGGGGCAGACUGGAGUACUGCAGGGGAGACUGGAAUUCCUGGUGUAGCGGUGGAAUGCGCAGAUAUCAGGAGGAACACCGGUGGCGAAGGCGGGUCUCUGGGCAGUAACUGACGCUGAGGAGCGAAAGCGUGGGGAGCGAACAGG
rnacentral:rRNA from 1 species